UACGUAGGGGGCAAGCGUUGUCCGGACUUAUUGGGCGUAAAGAGCUCGUAGGCGGUUCCGUAAGUCGGAUGUGAAAAAUCUGGGCUCAACCCAGUGGAGCACCCGAUACUGCGGUGACUCGAGUCCGGUAGGGGAGUGUGGAAUUCCUGGUGUGAGCGGUGAAAUGCGCAGAUAUCAGGAGGAACACCGACGGUGAAGGCAGCACUCUGGGCCGGUACUGACGCUGAGGAGCGAAAGCAUGGGGAGCGAACAGG
rnacentral:rRNA from 1 species